rnacentral:misc_RNA from 1 species
AGCAUUUGGGGCUUUGGUUAAUGAAAAGAGGGUGGGAAUUGCUAUGUUACCCGCACACUCCAGUAGCUUAGUCAAUCCCUUUGCGGUUCAUCAAGUCAUGAUAGUAAAGUAACACGCUCAUUGGUUGACCAAGAAUGCUGAAUAUGAACCAGAAGAUCAUGUUCCCAACCAUAGAGUUUUUGAACAUAUUUUGUAGGUAAUUUGUUAUCAAAACCAGCGGAACCUGAAACAU